rnacentral:rRNA from 1 species
UACGGAGGGUGCAAGCGUUUAAUCGGAAUUACUGGGCGUAAAGCGUGCGUAGGCGGUUCGUUAAGUCUGUUGUGAAAGCCCCGGGCUCAACCUGGGAAUGGCGGUUGAAACUAGUCGACUCGAAUCUGGCAGAGGGGGUGGAAUUCCACGUGUAGCAGGUGAAAUGCGUAGAGAUGAUGGAGGAACACCGAUGGCGAAGGCAGCCCCCUGGGCUGAGAUUGGACGCUCAGGCACGAAAGCGUGGGGAGCAAAC